AUGAGUGCAAAAUGUGCAUUCACACCGACCAGAAAGAGCGAGAUGUAUGCAUACUCUGCAGCCCUACAAAGGUACCGUAAGCUAAGGAAUUUUAGUCACACUGCAUGUUUCAAGGCAUGCCACUCUGAUGAGGCAUUUCAGCAUCUAAAAGGGGUUUUGGAAGGACAAGAUGUUUACAAGGGAUCAACAAGUGAACAAGCUGACAGCAAGGGAUCAACUAAUGCUCAGGGUAACAGCAUUAGGUUUGGCCCGUUGAUGCCACAAUCGGCUAACCUUGAUGGUGAAGGUUUCGAAAAGGUUCUGGAUCCCGUGCAUGUCCCAGGCCGAGGUGCUCCGUAG
rnacentral:rRNA from 1 species